rnacentral:rRNA from 1 species
UUAUGUGAUCGUCUCUCGCAUAUCAAUAAGCGGAGGAAAAGAAACUAACAAGGAUUCCCCUAGUAACGGCGAGUGAAGCGGGAAGAGCUCAAAUUUGAAAUCUUAAAGGGUUUCCCUUUACGAAUUGUAGUUUAAAGAAGUGUUUUCUGUUGAGGUUUUGGUAAAAGUUCUUUGGAAUAGGACAUCAUAGAGGGUGAGAAUCCCGUAUUUGACCUUUACUUUCAACUUUGUGAUACACUUUCAAAGAGUCGGAUUGUUUGGGAAUGCAGUCCAAAAUGGGUGGUAAAUUUCAUCUAAAGCUAAAUAUUGGCGAGAGGACCGAUAGCGAACAAGUACCGUGAGGGAAAGAUGAAAAGAACUUUGAAAAGAGAGUUAAACAGUACGUGAAAUUGUCAAAAGGGAAGCGUUUGACACCAGUGUUGUUUUUCUGAAAAUCAAUUAAAGAACUGUUUAUGCUAAGUUGUUUAGACUUUAUCAGCUAACUGUUUAGUUUUGAGCUUUUCUUUAAUGCACUUUUCAGUUAACAAGUCAACAUCAAUUUCUUUUGCUGUAAAAAAGCUUGAGGAAGGUGGCUUGAGAUUCGUCUUAAGUGUUUAUAGCCUCUUGCCUAUGCAGUCGGAGAGAUUGAGGUCUGCAGCGUAGAUCCUUCGGGGCUAAAUGCAUUUGUGCUAAGUUAUAGCAUUUUAUAGACAACUUGUUGACUAUGAUUUGUCUUGUAGCUUACUCGCUUAUGUUAUUUUACCUACGCUUAGGAUGUUGACUGAUAUGUAGUCGUA